rnacentral:rRNA from 1 species
UCCCUCAAGAUAAGAUAUCCCAUAGCGUUAAGCUAGUAAGACCCCUUGAAGACUACGAGGUAGAUAGGACAGAGGUGUAAGUGUGGUAACGCACUGAGCUGACUGUUACUAAUAGGUCGAGGGCUUGACCUAA